CCCCCCAGACUGCAGCCCCACCCAUCUGCACUGGGGCCCCAGGGCUUCUCUUUCCCAAGCAGCCCCUGCAAAGCCUUGUCAGAGAGAAAACUGGGUGACCCGAGUCCUGGAUGCUUUUAGUAAAGAGGUCUAAACAUUUCUUGAAUAAUGGAGAGGGCUGAUUUUUUUAUUCUUGACAUUUCCAGUUCUCCAUUUGGGGGCAGGAUGUCCUCUGGGCCAAUGUUUUGAUCCCUUUGCAGUGAGUGCAGCCUCAGAGAGCUGAGCCCUCUCUGGCUGGGCUUGGCCUCUCCUGGAGAGACUCAGGCCUGGCUGGGCUGCCCCAGGCAGACGCUGCAGGAAGAAGAGCUCAGGUCGCCUGGCUCUGGUGUCCCUGGGGCUCAGCCUGUGCCCCAUUGCUGGGCAGGGGCUGAGCCCCACCUCUGCCUCGGGGCCUUGGCCAAAGGGCUGGCAAGGAAGAGGCCCAGGAGCCUUGGGGCCUGCCCGCCUUUCCUCCUCCCUGGGGGCUCUCAGUCCUCCCCUGACACCGUGUGGGCCCAAGGCCUUGCUGGCUUCGGGCUCACGGCCGCCAGCACCAUCCCACCGGCCUGACCCCUGUCACCAUCAGUGAGGAGGGCUGUGUUAAUAUUCCCCCAGUCAAUGUAAAACCGCAGGCCGGAAUGUAAGAGAUUAUUCCAUCUCUGACUCGCUCCUUUGUUUUUACAUUGACCGGUGUAAUGAACAAUUAGUAAUUGGGCAUUCUGCCGAGGUGUCAGACUUGUUAAUGAGGCAAUUAAACGCCUUGGGCAAGGCUUCUUCGAAGUCGUUUAAAGUUGCACAAGCGGCAUUUAACCACUUCACACUAACGAAACUAUUUCUAUCAGCUGAGGUACAUGCCAAGUGUAAGCUUUGCAGGCUACCAGGAGCCCCCCGGAGCCCAGUGACUGAACAAAGCGGCAGACACCGACUUUAGCCUUUAGCAGGGCUGCCUUCAUCCACCUGGGGGACAUUUUGGGCUGCUUGCUGGCCCCCUGGAGAGCCUCCAGCAGAAAGUUGCUACAUUUUCCCACCUUGGCAGAGCCAGCCUGCCUGGAUACCAGCUGCUUGACCAAUCAACACUGUGGAAAGAUCUGCCCGGAGUCAAGCUGGCUGGUGAGUGCCAGGGCGUUCGUAUUUAGGGCAGCUGGGCUGGUGUUUGUCACCUGCAGAGGGCAGGAGAGGGGAAGGAGACCAGAGAAGCAGAGCUGGGCUCUGGCUGGAGCACUUGGAUAGAGUCCUGCUGGAGGAGGCAGGGCUGGAAUUGAGGUGUAGCCCCCCAAAGUUCCCCCCCACACAAAUGUCAGAAGCAGCUGCUGCUCAUCCCCAGGACCAGGACCCCACUGCUGUGCUUACAGGGGGGUCACUGGUUUCAGCGUAUCUCCCACUCCCCUAAACUCAGCCCCAGUGUGGGCCUGAGCCUGCCCGUGCUGGGAGGGUGUUUGGCCCCCACUGACAAGGGCCAAGGAAAGCAGUGAUGGUGGCAGCAGAUUAAAAACACCAAAGCACUGAGCCAGAUUAAACAGUAACUGGGCCACUGUGGUGGUUUAACCCCAGCUGGCACCUGAGCACCACACAGCCACUCCCUCACCCCCAUCCCAUGGGAUGGGUGGGGAGAGAAUCAGAGGCGUAAAAGUGAGAAGGCUCAUGGGUUGACAUAAGAGCAGUUUAAUAAUUGAAAUAAUAAUAAUAAAUUGUAAUGUAAAGGAAAAUAAUAGAGAGAUAGAAAUAGAACCCAAGACAGACAAGUGAUGCAACACAAACAUCUCUUUAUCAUCAGCCCAAAUCCAAAACCCAGCCCCAUCCCAGCUGUGGUGAAGGAACUGAACUCUGCUCCAGCCCAAACCCUCGCAGUGACUUCAGGGAGACCACUGAGAAAAAGCCUUUUCAUGAAAAAGAAACUAUUUAACGUUAUAUAACACGAAACAUUUAUAUAACAUAUAAAACAUUUAUAUAACACAACUAUUUAUAACAACGGGAGGGAAACUCCCGGAGCAGGGUGGUGGUACCAGAUGUGGCACAGCUGGAGCACCGUGUCCCCCUGACCCAGCACACAGGGAUGGCACAGGGUGCCCCCAGCUGCCUCCUUUUGGCAUUGCUGUUGCCCCCCAGUAUCUGUUUCAUGAGGUGGCUCUUGCUGGAAAGGAGCCUGGGGCUGUGUGGGGUGCACAAGCCUCCCCACCAACCGAUACAUAAUUAAAAAAAUAACAAUAAAAGUGAGAUCAAAUCCAGCCUGGGGAUGGUAACACUGCUCUGUGUGAUGUGGCCGUGCUGGAUGGGGGGUGUGGGACCCCAGGCUAUGGGUUGUUGUCCCAGGAUCUGGCACUGGGGGGGUGGGGGGAGCUGGCCUGGGGGGUCACUAGGACACGGGGCAGCUCCUUCGGCCCCGCUUCCCGCGGCGCCGGGGGCUGCGGCCCUGGUGGGGAGCAGUGGCUGUCACGGGGAUGUUCUGGAGCACGUCGUGCAGCGUGAACAUGCUGAAGGAGAUCUGCUCGUAGGGCGACCUCGUCCCGUUCUCGUAGAGGCAGGCGAAGGCGAUGGCCGUGCCACCGGCCACCGGGGCCUCCGCGUAGGGCAGCUCCAUGUAAGCCAGGUCUGAGUAAGCGCUCGGGCCCUCGUAGAUGACCCAGGGCUCUGUCCAGCUCUCUGCAUCCCUGGGGAAGGUGCUCAGGUGAACCCCCAUGUUGACCCGCGACAUGGAGCUGGUGGGGUGGGAGUAGAGGAUCCAUGUCGGCGCUUGGAAGAAGGGAGUGGGGCUGGGGGUCGCUGCAGGGUCCCCCUGGGCCAAGGUGGCACUGUGGGCUUGUUGGUGAUGCCCUGGGGUAGGACAGUCCUCAUCGGGCUCGUCUGGCUUGUGGUGGCUGCCGGUGGCCACAGUGGGCAGCUCAUCACCUGCUGCCUUCCAGGUGGGCAGGUACCGAAACCCCUGGAACAUCCCGGGGAGCAGCCGUCGAGCUGAGCCCCGGAGGGGCAACACAGAGUCCUGGGAGAUGGUGGGGACAUACACAAAUGGUGCUGGGAAGCCGAUGACACUGCCAUGACAGCCAUGGGGGGGCUCGACCAGCCGCUGGACCAGCUGCCCCCUGUGGAAGACAGCCCCGUCAUCCGUGCUGAGCGCCUGGACCCUGAAGCCCAGCGGGCUGCGGGCGUUGCAGUACAGGACGUUGGAUCCAUCCUCCUCAUCCACCGAGACCAGCUGGCACUCGCC